rnacentral:misc_RNA from 1 species
UUGAAAGAUAAAAUGAACAAGGUCUCCGUAGGUGAACCUGGGAGGGAUCAUUACAAGUGACCCCGGUCUAACCACCGGGAUGUUCAUAACCCUUUGUUGUCCGACUCUGUUGCCUCCGGGGCGACCCUGCCUUCGGGCGGGGGCUCCGGGUGGACACUUCAAACUCUUGCGUAACUUUGCAGUCUGAGUAAACUUAAUUAAUAAAUUAAAACUUUUAACAACGGAUCUCUUGGUUCUGGCAUCGAUGAAGAACGCAGCGAAAUGCGAUAAGUAAUGUGAAUUGCAGAAUUCAGUGAAUCAUCGAAUCUUUGAACGCACAUUGCGCCCCCUGGUAUUCCGGGGGGCAUGCCUGUUCGAGCGUCAUUUCACCACUCAAGCCUCGCUUGGUAUUGGGCAACGCGGUCCGCCGCGUGCCUCAAAUCGACCGGCUGGGUCUUCUGUCCCCUAAGCGUUGUGGAAACUAUUCGCUAAAGGGUGUUCGGGAGGCUACGCCGUAAAACAACCCCAUUUCUAAGGUUGACCUCGGAUCAGGUAGGGAUACCCGCUGAACUUAAGCAUAUCAAAACGGGGGAAGAAAA